UUAAAUUAGUAAGAGCGUACGGUGGAUGUCUUGGCAUAUAGAGCAGAAGAAGGACGCAGAUAACGGCGAAACGCCUCGGGGAGUCGUACACAGGCAACGAUCCGGGGGUAUCCGAAUGGGGAAACCCGAUAAAGUUGAAAAGCUUUAUCAUCCUUAAGCCAAUACAUAACUUAAGAGAAGGCAACCCAGGGAAUUGAAACAUCUUAGUACCUGGAGGAGAAGAAAAUAACAAUGAUUCCGAGAGUAGUGGCGAGCGAAAUCGGAGCAGCCCAAACCAGCAACGAGCUGGGGUAGUAGGACCACGACAAGUGAUUGAAAAGAGAUAGUCGAAUGGCAUUGAAAGGUCAGCCGCAGAAGGUGCAAGCCCUGUAGGCGAAAUCUCGAUUCACGCGAGUGGUAUCCUGAGUACGUCGGAGCACGUGAAACUCUGACGGAAUCAACCGGGACCAUCCGGUAAGGCUAAAUACUCCUAUAUGACCGAUAGUGAACCAGUACCAUGAGGGAAAGAUGAAAAGAACCGCGGGAGCGGAGUGAAAUAGAUCCUGAAACCGUAUGCUUACAAAAAGUCAGAGCACAUUAAGGUGUGAUGGCGUGCCUUUUGUAGAAUGAACCGGCGAGUUAUCUUUGCAUGCGAGGUUAAGCAGACAAUGCGGAGCCGUAGCGAAAGCGAAUCUUAAUAGGGUGGCAAGUAUGUAGAGAUAGACCCGAAGCCGUAGUGAUCUAGUCAUGAGCAGGUUGAAGGCUGGGUGAAUCCAGCUGGAGGACCGAACCGACCCCCGUUGAAAAGUUGGCGGAUGACUUGUGAUUAGCGGAGAAAUUCCAAUCGAACACGGCGAUAGCUGGUUCUCCCCGAAAUAGCUUUAGGGCUAGCGUUGAACGAAUCUACCCGGAGGUAGAGCACUGAAAUCAUGCGGGCGGCAUCUCGCCGUACCAAAUGAUAUCAAACUCCGAAUGCCGGGCAAGAAUAUUCAGCAGUCAGACUGUGGGUGAUAAGGUCCAUGGUCAAAAGGGAAACAGCCCAGAUCAUCAGAUAAGGUCCCAAAAUUUACGCUAAGUGGAAAAGGAUGUGGAGACGCGCAAACAGCUAGGAGGUUGGCUCAGAAGCAGCCAUCCUUCAAAGAGUGCGUAACAGCUCACUAGUCGAGUAUCUCUGCGCCGAAAAUUAACCGGGGCUAAGCGUAAUACCGAAUCUAUGGAUUUAUACUUAGGUAUAAGUGGUAGGGGAGCGUUCCAUACAGCAUUGAAGGUAUACCGUAAGGAGUGCUGGAGCGUAUGGAAGUGAGAAUGCCGGUGUGAGUAGCGAGAUGUGGGUGAGAAUCCCACACACCGAAAAACCAAGGUUUCCAGGGGAAGGUUCGUCCGCCCUGGGUAAGUCGGGACCUAAGGCCAGGCCGAAAGGCGUAGUCGAUGGACAGCAGGUUGAUAUUCCUGCACCCGCGAGUAAAGUGAUGGAGUGACAGAUAGGGUUAACCCAAGUCCUAAAUGGAUUGGGCAAGGCAAGCAGGAGAGUGGCGUAGGCAAAUCCGCGCCGGAUACUCAAAGGCUUGACUCAAGCGAACGCGCGAGCAAGUAGUGAAGAGGGUGAUACCAGGUCUCAAGAAAAGCUUCUAGCGAUAAUUUACUAGCGGCCCGUACCAAAACCGACACAGGUGGUUGAGGCGAGUAGCCUAAGGUGAGCGAGAGAACUGUUGCCAAGGAACUCGGCAAAUUGACCCCGUACGUUAGCAAUAAGGGGUGCUCGAAAGAGCCGCAGUGAAUAGGCCCUAGCAACUGUUUAACUAAAACAUAGCUCUCUGCGAAGUCGCAAGACGAAGUAUAGGGGGUGACACCUGCCCGGUGCUGGAAGGUCAAGGGGAUUUGUCAGACGCAAGUCGAAGCAUUGAACCGAAGCCCCAGUGAACGGCGGCCGUAACUAUAACGGUCCUAAGGUAGCGAAAUUCCUUGUCAGGUAAGUUCUGACCCGCACGAAAGG
rnacentral:rRNA from 1 species